rnacentral:rRNA from 1 species
AUUGAACGCUGGCGGCAGGCCUAACACAUGCAAGUCGAGCGGAUGAAGGGAGCUUGCUCCUGGAUUCAGCGGCGGACGGGUGAGUAAUGCCUAGGAAUCUGCCUGGUAGUGGGGGAUAACGUCCGGAAACGGGCGCUAAUACCGCAUACGUCCUGAGGGAGAAAGUGGGGGAUCUUCGGACCUCACGCUAUCAGAUGAGCCUAGGUCGGAUUAGCUAGUUGGUGGGGUAAAGGCCUACCAAGGCGACGAUCCGUAACUGGUCUGAGAGGAUGAUCAGUCACAAUGGAACUGAGAAACGGUCCCGACUCCUACGGGAGGCAGCAGUGGGGAAUAUUGGACAAUGGGCGAAAGCCUGAUCCAGCCAUGCCGCGUGUGUGAAGAAGGUCUUCGGAUUGUAAAGCACUUUAAGUUGGGAGGAAGGGCAGUAAGUUAAUACCUUGCUGUUUUGACGUUACCAACAGAAUAAGCACCGGCUAACUUCGUG